rnacentral:rRNA from 1 species
UGCUGACGACCGGCGCACGGGUGCGUAACGCGUAUGCAACCUACCUUUAACUGGGACAUAGCCCCGAGAAAUCGGGAUUAAUAUCCCAUAAUAUCCAGAAAACGCAUGUAUUCUGGAUUAAAGUUCCGGCGGUUAAAGAUGGGCAUGCGUGGCAUAAGUUAGUUGGUGAGGUAACGGCUCACCAAGGCAAUGAUGCCUAGGGGUCCUGAGAGGGUAACCCCCACACUGGUACUGAGACACGGACCAGACUCCUACGGGAGGCAGCAGUACGGAAUAUUGCGCCCCCGUGNGCNUUUUUUAUUCAACCAUGCCGCGUGCAAGAUGACGGACCUAUGGGUUGUAAACUGCUAAAGUAUGGGAAAAAACUCCCGAACGUGUGCGGGACUGAUUGUACCAUACGAAUAAGCAUCGGCUAACUCCGUGCCAGCAGCCGCGGUAAUACGGAGGAUGCAAGCGUAAUCCGGAUUCAUAGGGUUUAAAGGGUGCGCAGGCAGAUUAGUACGUCAGUGGUGAAAGCUACCGGCUCAACCGGGGAAAUGCCAGUGAUACUGUUUAAUCUUGAGUGCAGUUGAGGUAGGCGGAAUGUAUCAUGUACCGGUGAAAUGCAUAGAUAUGAUACAGAACACCGAUAGCGAAGGCAGCUUACCAAACUGUAACUGAUGCUCAUGCACGAAAGCGUGGGGAGCAAACAGGAUUAGAUACCCUGGUAGUCCACGCUGUAAACUAUGAUCACUCGCUGUUGGCGAUACACUGUCAGCGGCUUAGCGAAAGUGUUAAGUGAUCCACCUGGGGAGUACGAUCGCAAGGUUGAAACUCAAAGGAAUUGACGGGGGCCCGCACAAGCGGAGGAGCAUGUGGUUUAAUUCGAUGAUACGCGAGGAACCUUACCUGGGCCUAAAUGCAGAACGACCUCCCGAGAAAUCGGGACUUCCUUCGGGACGGACUGCAAGGUGCUGCAUGGUUGUCGUCAGCUCGUGCCGUGAGGUGUCGGGUUAAGUCCCAUAACGAGCGCAACCCUUAUCCUUAGUUGCCAACAGGUAAUGCUGGGAACUCUAAGGAAACUGCCUACGCAAGUAGUGAGGAAGGUGGGGAUGACGUCAAAUCAGCACGGCCCUUAUGUCCAGGGCUACACACGUGCUACAAUGGUCGGUACAGAGGGCAGCUACCUGGCAACAGGAUGCUAAUCUCGAAAGCCGGUCUCAGUUCGGAUUGGAGUCUGCAACUCGACUCCAUGAAGUUGGAUUCGCUAGUAAUCGCGCAUCACCCAUGGCGCGGUGAUACGUUCCCGGGCAUUGUACACACCGCCCGUCAAGCCAUGGAAGCUGGGAGUACC